AUAUCAAUAAGCGGAGGAAAAGAAACCAACAGGGAUUGCCUUAGUAACGGCGAGUGAAGCGGCAACAGCUCAGAUUUGAAAGCUAGCUUAUGCCCGCAUUGUAAUCUGCAGAGGAACGUUUGGCUGCGGUAAGGGUCCAAGUCUUCUGGAAUGAAGCGCCUUAGAGGGUGAGAGCCCCGUAUUUGAUCCACAACCAAAGCCGUGCAAGCGUCCUUCUCAGAGUCGGGUUGUUUGGUAAUGCAGCCCUAAACGGGAGAUAAACAUCUUCUAAAGCUAAAUAUGAAUGGGAGACCGAUAGCGCACAAGUA
rnacentral:rRNA from 1 species